GGAGGGCAGGCCUUCUGGGAACAUGACCCCAAAAACCAAAGUUUCCAAGGCGGCCAAUGGGCAUGCCUGCUCCUCCUCCUGUUUUCUUCGAAUUCGUUCUUCGAGGUCAGCCCCACGCCCAAGGAUGAUGCAAACCGCAGCCUCAGGCUUCUUGGGGCAAGGCCCUCUGGGAAGAACUGGGCACAUGAGCAAAAGAAGCAAGAAACAGGGUUCACAGGCCUUCUGACAUGCUGUGUGGCCUGAGCCAAGUCACUUAACCUCUCUGGGCCUCAGAAGCCCCACCUGUUAAAAAAAAAAAGGGAAGAGAAAAGCAUUUCCUAGGCCGCCUCAUAGGGCUGGUGCCACCAUGGACAUAAAAGGUAAAAGCCCUCAGAAGGGAAAAGAUAAAACGAAACUCUAUUCCAAGUACUAGCUGCUGAGGGGAGAUGGGGGAGAUGGGGAAGCUGUGAGCUCAGAGGGGAAGCCUGGGAGGGGAUCUGCUGCGCCAACGGUUAGAGACAAGGUUUCACUUUCUCUGAAAGAUAGCGAUCGUGGGCUGGUCCUCGCUCCUCAAAGCCUAAGGCAUCAGAGCAGCCUUGGAGACAGCACCUCCCUAACAACCUGCUAAUUACUAGGGUAAACUGAGGCAUGGGGACGAGAGGACAAGGAGGUGUGGGGGCCGGCUGAGGCCUGCAGGAGCUGCCUGACAGCCCCAGCACAACUCGAAGAAUUGGAAGAGGAUCCCUGGCCUGUGCCCUCAGGAGUCCCGAGGGAAGGUGGCCCCCAAAAGGCUGGAGAGCCAGGGCAGAGCCUUGGGGCUUCCAGGGGGCCCAAGCUGCUGCAGCUGAGGGCACUGAGCCUGCAGAGCUGACAAGGAACUCAGAUGUGGCCAGAACAGAGCUCCUCCCACCUGCUCUCCACCUCUGCAGACCUGACCCUCCAUUCGUGUAGUCAUUCAACAAACGAGUAAAGGCCCCACUGCAUCCCAGCCACUCCCAGGUGCUAAGGAGCUCACAGGAGGCAAAUCCAGAGCAGCUCCAGGCCCAGGCAGCUGCUCCACACUCCACCCUUCCCCACAUCCAGCGUGGCGCUCACUGCACGAAGCCCAAUACCACACCUUGGCCACCCUCCUGGCCAGUUCUGGAUUCUCAUCCUAAGAAUGUCACUUCCACUAAAUUCCUCAUCUCUGCUCGCCCCCACAAAGCUGUUUUCUGGGGCCCUGGCCAAGUGGGGAUCCUUCUCCAUUUCACAUCCCUGAUCGCGUCUUACAGCAGCCUGGGAGAGAGAUAGCUCAUCUUGCUUUGCUGAGGUGGUGAAGCCCCCGGAAGCGCAGAGGCUGGCUGAGGGCAGAACAGCCAGAUCCAGCCAGAGAGCACCUGCCCCUCUUGGCUACUGCUGCCAGACCAUGAGACUUGGAGACUGUCACAUGCCUUCACCUUGUUCUGUCCCCUCCUAGUCCAAGCCAGGUGUAUUGUCUCCGGGGUUUAAAAGGCCUCGGGCUAGGGAUUUAGCUCAGUGGUUCCGCAGCCUGCCUCCCAAGCACAAGGUCCCGAGUUUUAUCCCCGGUACCAAAAAAAAAAGGGCCUCAAAGGCACAGAGAGGGGAAGUUGCCCCUCUCAGGCUGCACAGCAAUUAAGACAGCGUUCAGACUGAACCUGUCUAAUUAAUUUGAAGGACCAUAUUCUUACCACAGGGCUAAUCAGAGUGCUGUGUGGGACCCCAGGACCAGCAUCAACAAAGGCAAGAAGAGUUUGCACAUUCAUUUGCCGGGGCUGGAAUAACAUUACAGUUGUCCCAGGACAUCCACCAGGGAUGGGUUCCCUGAAAUGUGUCUCUUGCAUAAAACGGUAUAGCAUUUGCAUACACUUGUCCAAUCUGCUGCCUCCAUGCCACUUACCCUCUGUUUUUUAAUGUUAUAAUUAUAAAAUACUUAAAUAGGUGUGAAGCUAGGCAUGGUGGCACAUGCCUGUAAUCCCAGCACUUGGGAGGCUGAGCCAGGAGGAUUGACAUGAGUUCAAGGCUACCCUAGGCUACAUAUUGAGUUCGAGACUGGCCUGAAUUACAUAGCGAGACUGUCUCAAAAACAAAAACAAAAAAAGCGAGGUGUGGUGGUACAUUCCUGUACUCCAGCACGCGAAGCCUGGGGCAGGAGGGUUGCAAGUUCAAGCCCAGUCUGGACAACUUAGUGGCUUAUUGAGAGCCUGUUGCAAGGUAAAAAAUAAAAGGGCUAUGAAUGAAGCUCAGUGAGAAGACCCUGGAUUUGAUCCCCAAUACCACAAAAAAUAAAUACUGUAGUUAGAUAGGAAGUUUUGCUAUUAUUAAUUGUAUUAUAUAUUUUAUAUGUAGCCCCAAGACAAUUCCUCUUCCAUUGUGGUCCAGGUAAGCUGAAAAAUUUGACAGAUUGAUACUAAAUCACUCCUAAAUUGCUUAUAAUGCCUAACACAAUGCCAGUGCUAUAUAAAUGAUUGUUAUGCUGUAUUAUUUAGGGAAUAAUGGCAAGGAAAAGAAAGUGUGUACAGGUCCGGUACGGAUGAAACCAUCGGAGGCCUAACUGCAUUUCCAGUUUGUAGGAGGCUGAACCUGCAAGUACAGAGUCCAUGGAUCCCAAGGGCUGACUGUACCACAGGCUGGGAGGCUUCAGCAACAGAAUUUAUCUUCUCACAGUUCUGGAGGCCCGAAGUCUGAGGUGGAGGUAGAGGUGGCAGUGUGCUUGGCUCCUUGGCUUGCAGAUGGCCUUGGCAUGCUGUGUCUUCACAUGGGCAUCACCGGUCUGUGUGCCUCAAGGAUUGGGCUCCACCCAAAGACCUCAUUUUACCUUAAUCACUCCUUCUUGAAAGCCCUAUCUCCAAAUACAGUUGCAUGUGCAGAUGCUGUGGAUCAGGACUUACACAGACAGGGCUGUGGGGAAGAUGUGACUCAGCCCACAACAGCCUGCAGGAGGCGGCAUGGUUGGAGGGCUCCAGGAAGUGGAGACGUUGUCAGGGGAUGCACCCAGGGGAUGCACAGGAGCACAAGGAGUGGUGGCUGGAAGAGGCCUGGGCACUUGACCAUCAGAGGGGAGAGUGAAGGAAGAUGCGUCAGCGUUUCUGGUGAGAUGGGGAAACCGAGGCCUGAGAAGCAGAGACCUGAGAGAGAUCCAAUGCAGCCUUCCAGAGACAGGAGAUCCACCUCCAAGCCCAGGAUAUUGUGCAGGACCGAUAUUGCCAAGUGACUCAAGCACGCGGGAGACUGAGACCAAGACAGGAGGAUUGCCUCAAGCUCAAGGCCUGAACUGCAGAGCAAGACCUUGUUUCAACACCCUCCCCUCCAAAAAAAGAAGUGUGCAUUUUGUGGGUUGUCUCCCCAGCCAGACUGUAAAUUCCAAGAGGAUGUACACCGUGGUCUGGCUCCUCUUUGUCUCUCUGGUGUGUGGUUAGUGCCACAAAAUGUAGUAGGUGCUGAAGAAACCCAGAUGUGGCCAUCUACAGAAGCCUCUGGAAAGAUGAGCCUGGCUCCAGCCUUCAGGAAGGAGAUGCAUCCCUGUCCCACAUCUGGCACACCUGGACCAAGCCUUCCAGAAGCACAGAGCUACUGACUGCUGGGUGAAUCACCCGCUCCCACAGCCAUUUCCAUGAGUGCUCCUGGUUCCUUUUCCAAAGAAAUCUGAUUUCUGCCGUGCUCAAUGCACUGCACCAUGUGAUUCCAAUUCUGGGCAGCCUCGAUUUGAAAGACGCUGACUUUUUCCUUUAUGAUAACUUCUUUUAAAAAACAAAUUCAAAAUCUGCUUUUUCACCCAUUGCAGAUUGCAACACUUUCCUGGAAAACAAACAGAAAAAGAAAAAGCCAAAGCA